rnacentral:rRNA from 1 species
AUACGUAGGUGGCGAGCGUUGUCCGGAAUUAUUGGGCGUAAAGAGCAUGUAGGCGGCUUAAUAAGUCGAGCGUGAAAAUGCGGGGCUCAACCCCGUAUGGCGCUGGAAACUGUUAGGCUUGAGUGCAGGAGAGGAAAGGGGAAUUCCCAGUGUAGCGGUGAAAUGCGUAGAGAUUGGGAGGAACACCAGUGGCGAAGGCGCCUUUCUGGACUGUGUCUGACGCUGAGAUGCGAAAGCCAGGGUAGCGAACGGGAUUAGAUACCCCGGUAGUCCUGGCCGUAAACGAUGGGUACUAGGUGUAGGAGGUAUCGACCCCUUCUGUGCCGGAGUUAACGCAAUAAGUACCCCGCCUGGGGAGUACGGCCGCAAGGUUGAAACUUAAAGGAAUUGACGGGG